GACGUAGGAGGCGAGCGUUGUCCGGAUUCAUUGGGCGUAAAGAGCACGCAGGCGGUUCGGCAAGUCGGAUGUGAAAUCCCGGGGCUCAACCCCGGGCCUGCAUCCGAUACUCCCGGGCUGGAGGCAGGUAGGGGAGAUCGGAAUUCCUGGUGUAGCGGUGAAAUGCGCAGAUAUCAGGAGGAACACCGGUGGCGAAGGCGGAUCUCUGGGCCUUGCCUGACGCUGAGGCGCGAAAGCUAGGGGAGCGAACAGG
rnacentral:rRNA from 1 species